CUACGUGCCAGCAGCCGCGGUAAUACGUAGGUCCCGAGCGUUGUCCGGAUUUAUUGGGCGUAAAGCGAGCGCAGGCGGUUAGAUAAGUCUGAAGUUAAAGGCUGUGGCUUAACCAUAGUACGCUUUGGAAACUGUUUAACUUGAGUGCAAGAGGGGAGAGUGGAAUUCCAUGUGUAGCGGUGAAAUGCGUAGAUAUAUGGAGGAACACCGGUGGCGAAAGCGGCUCUCUGGCUUGUAACUGACGCUGAGGCUCGAAAGCGUGGGGAGCAAACAGGAUUAGAUACCCUGGUAGUCCACGCCGUAAACGAUGAGUGCUAGGUGUUAGACCCUUUCCGGGGUUUAGUGCCGCAGCUAACGCAUUAAGCACUCCGCCUGGGGAGUACGACCGCAAGGUUGAAACUCAAAUGAAUUGACGGGGGCCCGCACAAGCGGUGGAGCAUGUGGUUUAAUUCGAUGCAACACGAAGAACCUUACCUGGUCUUGACAUACACAGAAUCUUGCAGAGAUGCGAGAGUGCUUCGGGA
rnacentral:rRNA from 1 species